rnacentral:lncRNA from 1 species
AUGUCCCAACUGUGUUCCUGCUGCCGCUGCAUUCGGAGACCGAGGAAGGGGGAAAGGGAAGAAUGGGCAGCAAGCAGCGCUCCGCGGGCGGCCGCCUCAGCCCUCCUGGCACAACCACCAGCAUUCGCGGCAGAAGUCGGCAUAGGAAGGGAGCCGCGGAGGCUGCCCCUUGACUCCGCGCUGGGCACCGAGAGAAAGGAGGCGGGGGCUGCAGGCGGGAAAGCCCCCUCCUGGUUAGACCGCAAAGGUUCAAAGUCGCUCCGAACAAGCCAUUUCUGUGGAAGCUGUAUGUGCCUGAAAGAGGAAAAUUGUGUUGCCUUUUCUCUCUCGCCCUCGCCUUUUUCAGUCCCUACCAGGGACGGUUCUGCUGCUCCGGUCAUCUGUGAAUAGGCAACCAGUCCGAGGCAUUUGUUUCGGAUUUAGCAAUGCGGUGUCGAAGAGUCCUGUGUGUUUCGGGGGAGGGUUGAGGAGGUGGCAUGAAAAGGGACGCGGAGGCGGGCACCCCGAUUAUUCCUCUGUAAGGUUCUUCGAAAGUGAGCCCCGUUGAGAUCUCGCUCUCCGCUUGUGCCUGAGGCUUGUAGCCUUCCAGGGACGGGAGGGACCGAGUGACCUUCGGCUCUCCCUCCGGACGGUUGCCGCGCCUCCUGUGGGGCUGCCUCCGCGUCUUCCAGAGAGGCCUUUGCAAAGGAGAGCGAGGGGUGGGGUGGAGGCAGCCCAGCGUUUGGCCGGCGGCAGGGCCCGUUUUAUGCCCGGACGGGGCGCUCCCUCUCUGACCAGGCUCGAGGCCCCCUCGCGGGUCUUUCUUGGCCGGGGUUGAGGGGAGGAAAGAACCGGCGCCGAGGAAACUUUCUUGCCCUCGCCUUUGCGGCUCGCCUGGGCCCCCCCUUUGUGGGGCUCUCAGGGGUAAAACUCUGUGGCAGGGCGGCUCUCUGGUCCCAGGACCCGGGCCGGAGAAGUCAGGGAGCCGCUUCCUCCAGCACCACGGAACUCUUAUCCACAGUCGGGCCUUGUUUUCCCGACAUUUUCUUGAGGGCUACUCCUGGAAUAUUAGACAUUUGCGAGAAAGACUGGGAGUCUGUGUGUGAGAGA